rnacentral:rRNA from 1 species
AUGAACGCUAGCGGCAGGCUUAACACAUGCAAGUCGAGGGGCAACACGGGUAGCAAUACCGUGGUGGCGACCGGCGCAAGGGUGCGUAACGCGUGAGCAACAUACCCUAUACAGGGGGAUAAUCCAGGGAAACUUGGUCUAAUAUCCCAUAGGAUUUACAGAUGUCAUCAUCUAUAAAUUAAAGCUUCGGUGGUAUAGGAUUGGCUCGCGUGACAUUAGCUAGAUGGUGGGGUAACGGCCUACCAUGGCCAUGAUGUCUAGGGGUUCUGAGAGGAAGACCCCCCACACUGGGACUGAGACACGGCCCAGACUCCUACGGGAGGCAGCAGUGAGGAAUAUUGGACAAUGGAUGGAAAUCUGAUCCAGCCAUGCCGCGUGCAGGAAGACGGCCCUAUGGGUUGUAAACUGCUUUUAUAUGGGAGCAAUAAGGUCUACGCGUAGACCGAUGAGAGUACCAUAUGAAUAAGCAUCGGCUAACUCCGUG